rnacentral:rRNA from 1 species
AUGCCUCCAAAGCAUGAAAUGCCUACGAAUGUAUUUCAUGCAAGCAUAUUGGCAAAAUGGUAUCCAAACGAACACGCAAGCAUAAAUUUGAAGACACAAAAAGAGGGCGGCCUUCUAGAAUACCAUGUCUUGCAUGCCAAUGCCGCUCACGGGGUGGGCCUUGACGCUCUUAAGAGUGGCACAAAACUUGUUGCACUCUUGUUGGAUGACCCUCCAUCGCUUCGAAAUGGACAGCCACCCGCUCGCGCUUACUAUUUGGUACGGCGGAAACUUCUUGCGCUCAUGGAACUCACGGUGGACAUGAAUUCAAAAGGUUGA